rnacentral:lncRNA from 12 species
UAUUUAUUUAAUUUUUUUAUUAAACUCAUUUACAUAGGAUAAGCAGACAAAUACUGUGAUCUAUUUUCCUACACUUAUUUUUAUUUAAUCGUUUGUAUUAUCUGUUGGGAUAAGGACUAUUCUAUGGCAGAAAGGACAAUCCCAUUUACCAUGGAAAACACAGCACAAAGUCUUCUGAUAAAUAGCACAAGAAUUGUUUUGCUUUGUAGGCAGGCAGCAUUCUCUAGCUGAAAGACUGAGAUAUUAGAGCAAAGAGUGUAUUAGUGUAGUGAAGCUGACAUUAUCAGGUGCUGUAUAUGAGAAAUGUCAUUUCUGAGUUGUCACAGAGCUAUUAUUGAGAGACUAUUCAGAGGAGCACAGUUCAUCAUUGCGACUGUCACUGCGCUCACUGCAAUCAUCGAACAGCCGGGUAUCGUUAAACAGAGCAUUUCUUUCACUUCAGGGCAAAUUACACUUAUGGUUUAUUUAUGGGAUGGAUUCGUUGCAUCCAGGCAUCCUCUGUAAGUGUUUUAUGAUGGCUGUGGUGGCACAGACCUGCGACUCGAGGCCAGUCAAGUAGGAUGGAUGGAUGGAUGGAUGGAUGGAUGGAUGGAUGAUGGAAGGAUGGAUGGAUGGAUGAUGGAUGGAUGGAUGAUGGAUGGAUGGAUGAUGGAUGGAUGAUGGAUGGAUGGAUGGAUGGAUGGAUGGAUGGACGGAUAGAUGGUGGAUGGAUGGUGGAUGGAUGGAUGGCAGCUGACCUGACUGGGGAGCAGAUCUCCUGCACUUCCACAGUGUGGAGGGUGGGGAGGAGGAGGUUUUGGGUAAGGAGGUGGGUGUGCUGGCCCUUCAGGUCCAAUCCCUCUCUCUCACUUGCCAGCAGUUUUGGAGGGCAGGGUGAGGUGACUGUAGGCAGCACCCUGAUCCUGAUUCCAGACAGGAUGGGAAUGCAGGAGCUUCCAUAGCUGGUCCUACCUUGCUGCCUCACCUCAGACUCUGGGGCUGGGACUCCUGUCCUCUGUCCCUGCAGCAUUUUAUACACAUUCAGGUGUCUCACACCACUUGGGGCAAACUGCAGUUCUUCCCUGGGCUUCCCCACACUACAGCUAUUUACACAGGCAUUUAAAUGCACACCAAAGAAUGAAAGUCAGCCCUAGAUUAAGGAUUUGAGGAGACAUUGUUGUCUGAAUCCCUACUAACAUUUUUAGGUCACAUACGACAUUCAGCCUACUUGAUCUUGAUCCUCUAAUCUGUCCACACGUUGAACUUCCAUUGACUUUAACGUGCCCAGCCAUAUCCUUUAAAGCCAAUC